CUUUAAGGUCAGAAAACUUGAUUUAAAUACUGUUUAUAGACUAAUGUUUUGUGAUGUCAAGGUUUUCUAUGUAUUUCUAUGCAGCAUGCGAUAUUUAGUUACACCAGCAGAGGGUGCUUGGUGCCGUUGGUAUCAGUAUCUGGUGCCGUAGAAGAAGUCUGCCAGUACGUGAUAUGAAAAGAAGCAUAUGCAUCAAGCUCCAGUUGUAACGCAGUGUCAAUUGUUUUGCAGCAUGGGUCAGGAGGUCGAGUGGGACGCCCAGUAACCAUGUUCCAGUCCUGCCUCCUUCACCUCCCUCCCAGCCCUUGGGCAGGAUGCAUAAUCCACACUUCCCCCCUGGAGAAGCCCACACAUGGAAGAUUUAAGGACCCAGUUGCUGGCGUAGGACUCGGAUCUGAUCCUCAGCACGAGGCAGACUCUUUUGAUGGCAGCUCAUCAAAAAAGAACACGGAAGGUAGAAGAGAAGUGAAAGUAGACUUGGAAAGUGGAGAAACACAGAUCAAAAUUGGCUGCAUGGCCUCCUCAGAGGCUGUAACCAUCAUCAAGGACUAAUAUGUGCAUCUUUAAAAAUGUGAAAUUAUGCUUAAGAGUGAGAAGUUGCCCCUUCUUUUUGUUACUGUUCCAUUUCAUUUUUGCAUGUAGUCUUUAUAGUACUGUAUUUUGUGUAUUUGUAUGUGUUCUGUAUAUACAGUGUGAGUGUCUUUAGUCUUAAUUUAAAUCUAGGUUCCGACUUACACUACUACUACUUACAUCACUGUCUUAGGAACAAAACAUGUGCACAGACCGAGGAAUGGUAUGUCUUUUGAAACCUUAAAGAUUUAAUAUAUUUGUAAAAUGUGGACCCAGCAUUGAUCCGUGGGGCGUUCCACAAAAUUGCAUGCAAGCAUUAUAAUGUACGCUCUGUCACAAGAGAUGGGAUUUAUGGCUUCUUGAAGGGAGUCGGAUCUUGAGAAGCUGUUCCUUUCAAAGAGCCGUGAAAAAGACUGGUUUGUUAUUAUGGUUAUAGUUAACAAUUACUGGUAGAAAUUAUACUUGGAUUAGAAUACAUCAAAUGUAUACCAGUAUUGACUACAAUUAGAAUAUUGUUGUUUUCACUGUAAACAAUACAUAAGUUGGUGCCAUAUCACCAUGGGUUGACAGUGACAUCAUUAUUUGGAGAUUUUUAUUUUAUUGUAGCACAAGAGCAUUUUAACAAUACAGAAAUAAUACCUUAUAAUGAAAUGUCAUAUGUACAUAAAAAGUACAAAAACAACUCGAAAACAAUUAGGACAUAGUAAAACAGUGAAUACAAAAUUGUAUUAACCUACCUGGUGUGUGUAUGCUUGAACUACUUUACAUAACCUCGUUAGAACAAUAAACCAGAAAAUGUUACAACUCGGCUUCGUUUUCCAAUCUCCUGUCGGGUGGCACACGCAUCUGUGUGUACAUAAAAAUCGGUUCGCCAACGAAUGGCUCGAUAAUGUGACUCGGUUCUCAUUGUUUACUGAAAGGAGCCGGUCAAAAGAUUUGAUUUGUUCGUUAGCAAUUAUAAAUAAUUGUAUCAAUUGUAAGAUAUAAAAAUACUCCAUGAUGUCAUGGGUGAUUUCCUAAUUUAUUUUAAUUAGUGCCAAGUGCAAAAAUGUUAAAAGGCAUGCUUUAUGUUUUUAUUGGCUGAGGUGGGUAUAAUAAUGGGUUACAUCAUAUUUAGCUUUGAGGCUGAUCUGGAUCACCAUCUGGAUUCAGGGCUUUUUUUUAAUACUAUUUCUCUUUCUCUCUCUCUCUCUCUCUCUCUCUCUCUCUCUCUCUCUCUCUCUCUCUCUCUCUCUCUCUCUCUCUCUCUCUCACACACAUACACACAAACGCAUGCACACGCACGCACGCACAGACACAGGUUACUU